UCUCCAAAGACCCAUCAAGUAAUUAUUGACAUCAACUAAAUAAGCGGGAUGCGUGGCUGUCUUGGCAGUAUUGUCAUAAACUAAAUCAGCUUUAUUCCUACACACUCGCUCUAUCUGAUUCGCUAUAUAAAUAGAAUAUAAGGAGGCAACAGGUAUUAGGAUAGUUGAUAAACUCGACAGAUACUAGUCACCAAAAAAUAUGAAACCUGUAACAAGUUUAGUUUUUGUGUCGUGCCUGUGCAUGGUGUAUGUUUCAUCUUCAGCGUCACCUUUAAAAAAUCAAGAUACAGGGUCCAAGUUGUUAAGUAGAAUCCGCCGACAGAUAUGGGGUGGAUCGUAUAAUAUGAUCUUCGCACGACAGAAGUGUGAUGACAAACCAUGCUGGUUGGAUGACGAGUGUUGCCGUGGUUAUUCAUGUUUUAACCCAGAAUCAUCUGGAUUAAGCCUGCUUCGAGAACGAACCCUGGGUGUCUGUUUAGACGAUUUCCAUAUUAAAAGUCUUGAAGCCGAAGUUCUAUAGUAACUGUGCUUUUAUUUUUUUAUAUUUUUGUCUAUUUGCAAGACCUGACAAUUCUAGAGAUUCUUUUCGUAUCAAGCAAGGAUGGUUAUGUAGAUGUGAUCAAGUCGGGCUUUUCAGUCUGCCUGUUUAGAAAUCCAGUCAUGCCGAACUAUGUCCCAUUUUACAAAGCAUACGUAAGACUUGGGUACAUUAAAAUCAGUCAUAUUCCUAGUAUACUACACAACUUUAUUGCACUUACAUGUUUAUAAUAUUAGUUGAUAAGAUUAAGUAACGGACCGUCCCUCUUUGGUUUCCGUCAGAAUAAAGGGUUGAAUUGUGUUAAUCUAAUUUUCAUUCCGGUUAGUACUGAGACCAGCUCUGUACAAUUAAAUUUUCAUUUCGUUUCUGCUUACAGAUUUUGGUUUCGUUUUGAAUGCACCCGCCGUUUGUUGCUUUUCAGUCAUGUAAGAUUGCAUAAUGAAAACAAGCCCUAUUUUUCUUUAUUAACUGGUUGUAAUAGCAGUUCAGAUGGACCUUUUUGAACGGCAAACUUUCGACCAAGGUAAAUACCAUAAAGGAAAAUGCACAAAAGAUAAAGUUCUUACGGUUAUAUGGCUAAAUGAGAAACAAAAACGAACCAUAUAAAUACGAAAAAAGGUUAUAAGCAGUCCAGAAAAAUUGACGGAAAAUCAAAAUUUUCUGAUCGUAAAAUUCGAACGCGAAUCGUUGAGUUAUCUUCCCGUUUAUGUCAUGGCUUUUAAAAGGUGUAUACAGGAUAUAAUUCUGUAUUGAAUCUUGUGAAAUGUGGUAGGGUUGUUUAUACAAGAUGUUUAAUGAACAAUACUAUUAAAACAUAAAAAUCGAUGACCUUAUGAAAUCAGCAUACGAUUUUGUUGCUGACGCGCGCGUAUGGUGGGUCAGUGUCGACCGGUGAAGACAGAAUAUAUUGUCUCAAUAAUGGGGUAAAUUGUUUUUAAUAAAUCAAGAUUUUCAUCCCGCAAAACAAAAUCAUACACUAAGUUUAAUCAAAUCGACAUUUUAUUUUUCACCCAAAUCAAACAGGUCACGACGUCGUACGUGCAAAAACUACUUUUUACUCAAUUCAGAUUGUCCUUGGUGUUAUUACCUUCUAUUUAUUGACGUACAUUGAUAAAAUACAUGAAAAGAAUAAAAUACACUGCUUUGGAUUGCUUAUAUCGCUCUAAUUUGUCCAAAAUAUAGUGAAGCAAACUCCAACCCUGCUCGCACAUCACUAAAAUAAAAUGAAUAAUGUAUUACUUAAUAUAAUUACCAUAAUGCAAUUUUAUAAUUAUGAUCAGACAAAAUUUAUUUCUCAUUUAUUGAUAUAAUAGUCACGAAUCUGACUGACGGUGUUCUUCAUGUUGUGAAUAUUGUAUUAUUUUAUUAUAAAUGACAUAUUAUAAUAUAUCAAUUAAUUGGUAUACGUAUACACACGUGCGAGCUAUAUGUUUAUUUAGAUUGCUUUACGUGUUCUUAUCUGUUGUUUUAAUUGU